UAAGGAAAUGGUGCGACAACUGGAGUCACAGAUGAAGCCUGCAACUGAGGUACAUGCCCUUGACCAGAAUCGAGAUCCUUCAGUCCUCUUGGGGACGGUCUAACCAGUGAGCCAAACCCGCUAGGGCAUGAAGCUUUGUUCUUAAAGGGAGUUUGAUGCUGACCAGAACGAUGUUCUAAGGGCUUAAUGAUUAAGGAAAGGAGUGGAGGGACAGAAAGAAGAAAGGGUCGUACAAAAGACAUGAAGUUUCUCCAUGCUUACAACAGCUAUGCAAGAUGCUAACAUUUGGGGAAGGUGGGUGAAGGGUACACAGGAACUUUGUACCAUUUUUGCAGUUUUCCGUAGGUCUAAAAUUAUUCAAAAUAAAAAGGUUAAAAAUUU